ACCUCGUCCUGCUGCCACUCCUUCACCUGGGAUGACAGACAGAGGCCAGAAGACACCAGAGCCAAGAAAAGGAGAGCUAGAGAUACAGUCAGUCAAACUGACUCCUAAGGAGACGUAGAGGUGCUAGCAGUAGCAAGGUCAAGGUGGAAGAGGAGAGGCCACAUAUGGCCAAGGUCAGAACCAUGACCCUCAGCUGAAGGUAGAGGCUGGGGGCCUCUGUCAUGGCUCUCUGUGCACUGACCACGAGGAAGCACUUUUGCAAUAUAGGAAAAGAAGAAACCAGAUUGAUAAAGGAAGUACUCGUUACUCUGAGGCCGGGUGAAUCAGGGGAAGACAUUCACCCACCCCUGCUCUUCUAAAGGAGACUGAUCCACGUUCUCCAGGUGCCUCUUGAUUCCCCAAGGAGACACCUCCUGGGGCCUCCCCUCUGGCCUGGACAGAGCUGCUUGUCUUCUCUCCUGGGAGGAGAGUGAGGCAAUGGGUCUGUCCUUGCUGCUGCCUCUGCUGCUGCUGCUGCUGCUGACUACUCUGCAGGCUGGUAACUCAGCAAGAUGUGAUCCAAAAAUGGACUUUAGGAUGGACCAACCAGAGCACCUCUCCGCCCCCAAGGGUGGCACCGUCCACAUCAAUUUCACCUUCUAUUACUGUGGGGCAUUAGCCAAGGAUCCCAGAGUGAGUAUAGCCUUGAGACGGACACAUUUCCAUGGGGAGGUCAUCUACAACAGUACUAGGCAUUUCGUCCAUGAGGAUUACAAGGACCGGAUCAUCCUGAACUUGCCAGAGGGUCAGAAGUCUGGCUUCCUGCAGAUAUUGAACCUGCGGGAGGAGGAUGAGAAUAUGUAUUUUUGCCGGGUCCAAUUGAAGACACAAAGAUUUGGCUUGCAGUCGGUGCAGUCCAUCCUGGGGACCAAACUCACCAUCUACCUCGCUCCCAAGACAACCACCAAGGGCCCCACCAGCACUGUCACCACCACCACUGGACUCAGUGUCUUGGAGGGGAAUAGGACCUCAGUGUCUUUACCCUUGAGUGUGGAAGCUGUGGUCAAGGUGGCACUGACCAUUGCUGUGCUCAAAACUGUAAUUUUGGGACUGACACUCUACCUUAGGUGGAAGACAAGCAAAGGUUGCCUCCUGGUCCAAGAUGGCUGCUCAGACUCCAGCCAUUAUUUCUGAAUCUAGGCAGGAAACAGGAGGGAGGAAGAAGAGACAAAAAACCAUGCUGCAUCUGUCCGUCCUCCUUUUAAAGAAUCUUCCUGAAAAUCCUACCCACAACUUCCCCUUGAAUCCUAUUGGCUAGGAUGUCAUCAGAUGUCCACAUCUAUCAGCAGGGGAGCACACUGCCACCCAAAACAAAGUCAAGGUUCUCUAACUAAGGAAGAAGAAAUGAAUGGAUAUUGGGUCUACAGACUACAGCCAGAACCGUAGCCAGGGGAUCCCUCCAAAAUACUGAGGAGAAGUAUGAGAACAUUGGGAUUUAAACCCUGAAGCUAUUGGAUCUUCACUCCACAUAUCAGACAGGGCCCCUGAUGACCAUGGAGACCAUUCAGGGCACAAUGCUGCAUUAGUGGGCACAUAGCCCCUAAACUCCCUCCACACACCAGUGGCUUCCCUGCACUCCGUGGCCCAGAAGCUGGAAAACCUGGCCAAAGGCCUCCACACCAUGGUAGCUCUGAGGCUGGGUGCCCACAUUGCCACCUUCACUCCAUUUGUCCUUAUCUGGUGACUGGCAGGGAUCUGGGCAGCUGUGGUUGCACUGUUGGCCUGGGAACUCUGCACUCUGUGGUCAACAUGGCCAAUACCAACUACAAGUCUGUGUAUGGCAGCUACUUGUUCACUCUCUGGGGGAAACAGCUCCAUUGGGCUGCCUUUGGUGACCUCCACCUGGGCUUUGUGGACACUUAGGAAAUAAUCCCCAGCCAGCGCUGCCCUGUGGCAUCCACUCAGGGAGGCUCAUCAUCUGCAACAAGGUAGACUUGCUCCUCUCCUUCAUCUGGCCCACCUGAGUGCUUCUGUGGGUCCCAGAACUCUGUGGAUGGAAGGCCUGGGACACAGUUGUGAAGAGGACCAGAGCCAUAAUAGGAUUUCUAGGACUAGACCAGGUGCCAUUGAUUUCUCUUGCCUGGAAGAUCCCAAGUUUCCUAACCAGUCCAGCUGAUUCUAUUCUUGCCCCACUCUGAUCUCUUCUCCACACAGAACAAGAGUAGUUACUUUAAAACAUAAAUGAGACCAAGUCAUUAGUCUGUUUAAAAAGCCAAAACCUUCUCAGUAUAAAUCCAAACCCCUAACUAUAGUCCAUGAUGGCCUGGCCAAACUCUGCAUCCCCAUUUGUUGUCCUUCCUCUCUGGCAUUCUGCAGUCCACCCCCAGCUCUUCUUGCUGCUCAACCAGGUCAAGCUGUCCUGCCUCAGGACCUUUAUACCUGCUGUUCCUGUGCCUGGAAGGCACAUCUGCUAGAUCAUCAUACAGUUGGCUUUCUUCUCCUUUGGCUCCCUGAUCAAACAUCAUCUCCUCAAAGGUUUUUCCUGACUGCCUUAAAUAAAAGAGGCCAUCAUCCCGUUCCCACA